rnacentral:rRNA from 1 species
CCUGACAGGGUUACUCUGAGUGAUUUCCGCUAAGGAAAUCUUUUGGCACCUCUAAAAAUGUUGUAGAAUAAGGGGUGGGCAAGUCUGGUGUCAGCCGCCGCGGUA